UCGUGCAACCGAGGUGCAAGGGCUGUCGCUGACCUUUAAGGGUUGUGCACGCUCAAGCACUCUCACACAUCCAUCUCACCCCUUUGUGCAUCACCGCGUGGGCCUUCCUUUGCAGGAGGGCUUGCGUUUUCACAUAAAACUUGAUACAGUUUAGAAUGUAUUAUCCUUUUGCGGUCGCACGCAAUCAAUA
rnacentral:misc_RNA from 1 species